GCUGGGUGCGGUGGCGCACGCCUGUAAUCCCAGUGGCUCGGGGAGCUGAGGCAGGGGGACCAAGAAUUCAAAGCCAGCCUCAG
rnacentral:sRNA from 1 species